GUAGGGGGCGAGCGUUGUCCGGAUUUAUUGGGCGUAAAGAGCGCGUAGGCGGCCAGGUAAGUCCGACGUGAAAUCUGGAGGCUCAACCUCCAGCGGUCGUUGGAAACUACUUGGCUAGAGUCCGGAAGAGGAGAGUGGAAUUCCUGGUGUAGCGGUGAAAUGCGCAGAUAUCAGGAAGAACACCGAUGGCGAAAGCAGCUCUCUGGGACGGUACUGACGCUGAGGCGCGAAAGCGUGGGGAGCGAACAGGAUUAGAUACCCUGGUAGUCCACGCCGUAAACGAUGGGUGCUAGGUGUGGGCGGUGUCGACUCCGCCCGUGCCGAAGCUAACGCAUUAAGCACCCCGCCUGGGGAGUACGGCCGCAAGGCUAAA
rnacentral:rRNA from 1 species